GACGGAGGGUGCUAGCGUUGUUCGGAAUUACUGGGCGUAAAGGGCGCGUAGGCGGCCCUGUCAGUCGGGUGUGAAAGCCCGGGGCUCAACCCCGGAACGGCACCCGAGACGGCAGGGCUGGAGACCGGGAGAGGAGGGUGGAAUAGCCAGUGUAGAGGUGAAAUUCGUAGAUAUUGGCUGGAACACCGGUGGCGAAAGCGGCUCUCUGGCCCGGUUCUGACGCUGAGGAGCGAAAGCGUGGGUAGCAAACAGG
rnacentral:rRNA from 1 species